UUCUUUGAUAAUUAGAUAAAUGAACCAUAUGAUAGACAAGAAGACAAUCUUGUAUGGGGAUAUCUUAUGCUUAUUAUUUAAUAGUGCGAACUUUUAAAGGAUUGAGUUGGUUUAGUAGUAAUACUAAACUAGGAAUUACAAAGUAAUAAAAAAGAUAUUAGCAAUACUAUUAUAGGGUUAUAAGGCACAGUCCUAAUCGUAGUCAUCAUAAACUUUCUUCGUAGAAAAGAAGAAGAUUAACUUUAAAAUUUAUUAGAGUGGCAUCUAAAGAAUUUUAAAGAAUGCCAAUAAGCUAUUUGCAGUUGACACAUAGUGAUAUGUUAUAAGAUUAGAAACUGGUUAAAGUAGUGCAAAUCUGCAAGAAAAUAGAUGGUUGUCGCGGUUCGAUUCCGUAAAAUAUAUGCUUUAAUAUAUUCCUAAGUGCAUGAAAUUUGGAAGUGCAAGUCUUCUUUAGUGGUUGUAGGUAAUUGAAGAAUAGAGGUCGCUCCUCUAUGAGGGCAAUUACUGGCUAGUGGCUGAAAGAAAAAAUAAUUUUGUAAUAGUUAUUAAUGUGAGAAACAUCAUUUAUCUAAUUAUCAAA
rnacentral:sRNA from 1 species